AACGAACGCUGGCGGCAGGCUUAACACAUGCAAGUCGAACGAUGAAACCCAGCUUGCUGGGUGAAUUAGUGGCGCACGGGUGAGUAAUAUAUGGGAACGUACCUUUUAGUGCGGAAUAGCUUCUGGAAACGGAAAUUAAUACCGCAUACGCCCUCAGGGGGAAAGAUUUAUCGCUAAAAGAUCGGCCCAUACCAGAUUAGCUUGUUGGUGAGGUAAAGGCUCACCAAGGCUACGAUCUGUAGCGGGUUUGAGAGGAUGAUCCGCCACACUGGUACUGAGACACGGACCAGACUCCUACGGGAGGCAGCAGUGGGGAAUAUUGGACAAUGGGGGAAACCCUGAUCCAGCCAUGCCGCGUGAGUGAUGACGGCCUUAGGGUUGUAAAGCUCUUUUACUAGGGAAGAUGAUGACGGUACCUAGAGAAUAAGCACCGGCUAACUUCG
rnacentral:rRNA from 1 species